rnacentral:rRNA from 1 species
GUGGGGAAUUUUGGACAAUGGGGGCAACCCUGAUCCAGCCAUUCCGCGUGAGUGAAGAAGGCCUUCGGGUUGUAAAGCUCUUUCGGCAGGAACGAAACGGUGAGCUCUAACAUAGCUCGCUAAUGACGGUACCUGAAGAAGAAGCACCGGCUAACUACGUGCCAGCAGCCGCGGUAAUACGUAGGGUGCGAGCGUUAAUCGGAAUUACUGGGCGUAAAGCGUGCGCAGGCGGUUGUGUAAGACAGGUGUGAAAUCCCCGGGCUUAACCUGGGAACUGCGCUUGUGACUGCACGGCUAGAGUAUGGCAGAGGGGGGUGGAAUUCCACGUGUAGCAGUGAAAUGCGUAGAGAUGUGGAGGAACACCGAUGGCGAAGGCAGCCCCCUGGGCCAAUACUGACGCUCAUGCACGAAAGCGUGGGGAGCAAACAGGAUUAGAAACCCGGGUAGUCC